AUGGCGAUGCGUUUCCAGCGGCCGUGGCAGUAUCGCUUUCCGCCCUUCUUUACAGCCAAACGUGGACCCUCGGCCGAAGCAGCUGGCCGCCUGGUGCUCGCUCGUCCUGUCCCUUUGCCACCUGCACAAAAAGUCCAGCAGGACGGUGAUGGAAGCGCAGGAGAGCCCACUCUUCAACAACGUCAAGCUACAGCGGAAGCUUCCUGUGGGGUCAAUUCAGAUUGUAUUAGAGAAACUGAGGAUAAAAGGGAACCUCGAGUGGUUGGCUAAGAACAAGUCUAGCUUCCUGAUCAUGCGGCUGAGGCCAGAAGAAUGGGGGAAACUCAUUUAUCAGUGGGUUUCUAGGAGUGGCCAGAAGAACUCAGUGUUUACCUUGUAUGAACUAACCAAUGGAGAAGACACAGAGGAAGAGGAGUUCCAUGGGCUGGGUGAGGCGACCUUACUGAGAGCUCUGCAGGCCCCACAGCAGGAACAUAAGGCUGAGAUCAUCACCAUCAGCGAUGGCCGAGGUAUGAAGUUCUUCUAG